GAUGAAGAACGCAGCGAAAUGCGAUACUUGGUGUGAAUUGCAGAAUCCCGUGAACCAUCGAGUCUUUGAACGCAAGUUGCGCCCGAAGCCACUAGGCCGAGGGCACGCCUGCCUGGGCGUCACACGCCGUUGCCCCCCCAUCUACUCCUUCGGGAUUGCGGGGGGGCGGAUGAUGGCCUCCUGUGCGCCUAGCCGCGCGGUUGGCAUAAAUACCAAGUCCUCGGCGACGCACGCCACGACAAUCGGUGGUUGCGAAACCUCGGUUGCCCGUCGUGUGCGUUCGUCGCGCAUCGAGGGCUCGAAAAAAUGCUCGGCUCCGGCUGGGCUUUCAACGCGACCCCAGGUCAGGCGGGGUUACCCGCUGAAUUUAAGCAUAUCAAUAAACGGAGGA
rnacentral:misc_RNA from 1 species